UAUCCCCCAAACUAAGGGGGGAUGAGAACCACCGACCGGGGUUCGACAACUGGCGCAGCCAGUUGGACAGACGACGAGCUUGCGAGGAGACUGCCCGAAGGGCGAGCGCAGCGAGUCAAUCCCCCCCUCACAGCCA
rnacentral:sRNA from 3 species